AUCAUUAUCAGAAUGAACGCGAAUGAAUCUUUUGGAGGAAAGAGACAACGCCGAGAAUCGAGGCACACCCUAAUGUUCCAAUUCAAGAUUUGCACCAUUGGGAUGCGCAUCAUUCCAUGUUCCUCUAGGCACUAGGACUCCUAAUGACAUAAGGAUUGGUAUAAGGAAUCAUGGGAAUGCAAUUGACAAGCUUGACUGAUGGCAUCAGGGCG
rnacentral:lncRNA from 1 species